rnacentral:rRNA from 1 species
UACAGAGGGUGCAAGCGUUAAUCGGAAUUACUGGGCGUAAAGCGCGCGUAGGUGGUUUGUUAAGUUGGAUGUGAAAUCCCCGGGCUCAACCUGGGAACUGCUUCCAAAACUGGCAAGCUAGAGUAUGGUAGAGGGUGGUGGAAUUUCCUGUGUAGCGGUGAAAUGCGUAGAUAUAGGAAGGAACACCAGUGGCGAAGGCGACCACCUGGACUGAUACUGACACUGAGGUGCGAAAGCGUGGGGAGCAAACAGG